rnacentral:lncRNA from 1 species
UGGUUCAAUAUUUUUCCUCUUUUGUUGAUUUGGUGUGUGUGAUGGUGGAGGUUACACUAUUUUGCUUCUCCCAUCAAAACAGAAAUUUCCAAAGGUUUACUAUUAAAAAUAUUGAUCUUUCCAUAAACAAGUUCACGAAACUAUGAUGUUUUUUAAAUUAUUUCCCUCUAGUGUAAUGAAUGAAAUGAGUCCACGUGAAGUACCUCAUGAAAUGAUCAGCGUUGCACAAAUCAAAAUUGAGCCUUCUUUGAACUGCAAAAAUACUUUUUACCAGUAUGUCCUAGGAAUCUGAAAAGUUAGCUAAGGUUUAGAAUUUAUCUUUAAAGAAAUUCUGACUUUUGAGAAAAAAAAAUCUAACUUUCCAAAUAAAAUGAAAAUGAGCUAAAUCCCUCACCAUAUUCUUCCCCUGAGAAAUGAAAUACUUUUUUAGUCCUUAUACUUGCAAUUUAAGACAAAAUCUGAAGUUCAGAGCAAGUGGCCCAUUUUAUAUAAUGUGAUGUAAGCUCUGUCGUUUGUUUUGGGUUUGUAGACACCCCCACACACACCCCCCCCCCCGGUUGCGUCCUCCUUGUUGUGCUCCUGUCGAAGGGCUGCCCAGUAUGGUGCGGUGCCCUGUCCUCCGGCGCUCACUCAUGCCUUCCUCUUGCACACUGAGCAGGCACAGGACACCGCCGGGGACAGAGUGUGAGCUGGCAACCCUUCUGCUUUGUGUGUUUUGGGGGUUUUCAGUUUCUUUUGACGGUUUUUUGUUUUUUUAAUUUUUUGUUCUGUUUUGGGUUUUGUUUCUCCUUUUACCCCCCUCCCCAAGCAUAAAGAGGCAUGUCUUACUCAAUAUUAUGCAAUGGACCUAUAUGAAAACUCACUUAGUGUCAGCCACACCAUUUUUUAAAUGCAGUAUAUUCAUCUGUAAAUAGUUUGUGUAAAAUUUGACAGAAAAGUAUAUUUACUACACUGUAAAUACAUGUGACGAUAUAUUGUAUUAUUUUGCUUUUUUGUAAAGCAGUUAGUUGCUGUACAUGGAUAACAAAAAUUUGAUUAUUCUUGUGUUAGUGUUGUUAACUUCUUCCUAUGACUGCGUUCCAUCUUUUAAAGAAAAUGCUGUGUAUUGUAAACUUACAUUGUAUAUGAUAACUUACCCUCCUUUCCAUUAGGCCUAAACUUUGAUGGUUCCUUGUCUGUAACCUUGUUCAUAUUGUAAGCAGUUGUAUGCCAGCGGGAGAAAUACUGCCCAACAGACAAAUUCGAUCACUGUAGGGGAAAUUCCUAGAACUCUGUCUCAGACCAUUGUUGUUCCCCACUCCGUUUUCCUCCUGUGUAUGUACACACACACACACACACACACACACACACACCUUUUUUAAAGUAAAAUGUAAAUUCAAUCUGC